ACAAUAGCCGUUGUUUCUUGGAUCCUCAAUUUACUUGGAUACCUGUGGUAAUUCUAGAGCUAAUACAUGCGACUAAGGGCCGAACUCACGUGACGCUUGCAUUUAUUAGAUCAAGACUAACCGGCUUCGGCCGUUAACUUGGUGACUCUGAAUAACUCAGCUGAUCGCACGGUCUAGUGCCGGCGACAUAUCUUUCAAGUGUCUACCUUAUCAACUGUCGAUGGUAGUUUAUGUGACUACCAUGGUUGUAACGGGUAACGGAGAAUCAGGGUUUGACUCCGGAGAGGGAGCCUGAGAAACGGCUACCACUUCUAAGGAAGGCAGCAGGCGCGCAAAUUACACAAUCUCAGCACGAGGAUGUAGUGACGAAACAUACCGAGGCGAUGCCCUUUCGGGUGUCGUCAUUGGAAUGAGUCGAAUCUAAAAAAUUCGGCAAGGAUCUAGUGGAGGGCAAGUCUGGUGCCAGCAGCCGCGGUAAUUCCAGCUCCGCAAGUGUAUAUCUAUGCUGUUGCGGUUAAAAAGCUCGUAGUUUGAUUCGCGUACUUAGCACGCAGUGUGGCCUUUCGGCUACUACUGUGAUGCGGUACAUUAUCGUCAGUUUGUCGUUGAUGCUCUUCAUUGGGUGUCAGCGGCGGCUGUCAAGUUUACUUUGAACAAAUUAAAGUGCUCAAUACAGGCGUUUCGCUUGUAUAGUUCUGCAUGGAAUAAUAGAAUAGGACUUACGUUCUAUUGUGUUGGUUUUCAGAACGAAAGUAAUGAUUAAGAGGGACAGACGGGGUCAUUCGUACUGCCACGUUAGAGGUGAAAUUCUUGGAUCGUGGCAAGACGAACUACUGCGAAAGCAUUUGACAAGAAUGUUUUCAUUAAUCAAGAACGAAAGUUAUGGG
rnacentral:rRNA from 1 species